rnacentral:rRNA from 1 species
CAGCAGCCGCGGUAAUACGAAGGGUGCAAGCGUUACUCGGAAUUACUGGGCGUAAAGCGUGCGUAGGUGGUGGUUUAAGUCCGUUGUGAAAGCCCUGGGCUCAACCUGGGAAUUGCAGUGGAUACUGGGUCACUAGAGUGUGGUAGAGGAUAGUGGAAUUUCCGGUGUAGCAGUGAAAUGCGUAGAGAUCGGAAGGAACAUCUGUGGCGAAGGCGACUAUCUGGGCCAUUACUGACACUGAGGCACGAAAGCGUGGGGAGCAAACAGGAUUAGAUACCCGGGUAGUCCCUGUCUCUUAUAA